rnacentral:rRNA from 1 species
UACGUAUGUCGCGAGCGUUAUCCGGAAUUAUUGGGCAUAAAGGGCAUCUAGGCGGCCUAACAAGUCAGGGGUGAAAACCUGCGGCUCAACCGCAGGCCUGCCUUUGAAACUGUAAGGCUGGAGUACCGGAGAGGUGGACGGAACUGCACGAGUAGAGGUGAAAGUCGUAGAUAUGUGCAGGAAUGCCGAUGAUGAAGAUAGUCCACUGGACGGAAACUGACGCUGAAGUGCGAAAGCCGGGGGAGCGAACAGG